CCGCGUGACGCUCGGCCGCUAGCACACGGCGCUCUUGGCUUCACUGAGCAUUGGCCAAGGGCCACUUGGGCAGAGUGAUGACUGACGAGGACUCUGAGACCCCUGUCAGCGGAUUGCAGGGCGGGGAGGAGAACGAGCUGCCUGUUAUCCAGCUGUGUGGGCUGGUGGAAGAGCUCAGCUAUGGAAACUCUGCUCUCAAAACUGAGACAGAGAUGUUUGAGAAAUAUUAUAAUAAACUGGAGCCCAGAGAUCAGCGACAUCCACGAUUAUCAGAAAUUAAAAUAUCAGGAGCAGAAUUUGCACAGUUACAAGGUAGGCGUAGAUCCAAAUCCCGCAUAGGUCUGGACCAUGUGAUAGGCCUCAGUUGCGACCAAAAAUGUGAGCUUGUACAAAAGGAGCUGGAAGACAUGAAGGAUGAAAUAAGGCACAUGAGAGCAAAUGCUGAACGAGACCUGCAGCAUCAUGAGGCUAUCAUUGAGGAAGCUGAAAUUCGAUGGGCUGAAGUUCAGAGAGCAAUGCAUGAGUUUAAAAAAGAUAUUCUAAAAACCAUAUCCAAGAAGAAAGGGAGUAUUUUGGCCACUCAGAAAGUGAUGAAGUACAUUGAGGACAUGAACCGCCGGAGGGAUAAUAUGAAGGAUAAAUUACGUUUGAAAAAUGUUUCUCUCAAAGUGCAGAGGAAAAAGAUGCUUUUACAGUUGAGGCAGAAGGAAGAGGUGGGCGAGGCUCUCCACGAUGUUGAUUUUCAGCAGCUGAAGAUCGAGAAUGCUCAGUUUUUAGAGACCAUUGAAGCAAAGAAUCAAGAACUGAUCCAGCUAAAGCUGGCGUCUGGAAACACCCUGCAGGUCCUCAACACAUACAAAAGCAAGCUACACCAAGCAAUGGAAAUGUCCGUCAAUCUGGACAAGGAGAUCUUGCUGAGAAAUGAGUUACUUGAAAAAAUUGAAAGAGAAACCCUACAAGUAGAGGAGGACCGGGCCAAGGCCGAGGCUUUGAACCAGAAGCUCCGCAAACAGCUGGCCGAGUUCCGCACACCGCAGGUGAUGCUGUACGUGCGGGAGAAGGUCUUAAAUGGGGACCUGGAGAAGACCAUCAAGAUGUGGGAAAGGAAAGUGGAGAUUGCAGAGAUGUCCUUAAAAGGCUACCGCAAGGCGUGGAAUAAAAUGAAAACCACCAAUGAGCAGUUGCAGGCAAUUUGCCCCCCUGAGAAAUAGCCAGAGGGAGGCCACGGCUGCAGACCAGAGUGAUCCAUUAAAGUCUGGUGUCCUUAUAAGAGGAAGCAGAGACCCCAGGAGUACACGCACUGAGGAAGGGCCAUGUGAAGACACAGCGAGAAGGCAGUGGUCUGCAAGCCAAAGAGAGAAUCUUCAGGAGAAACCAGUCCUGCUGAUCUUGGACUUGAUCUUGGACUUCUGGCCUCCCAAAUGGUCUCCAGUGUGACCUCAGAUGUACAUGCUGGGACUGUUUCUGAGAUCUCUCUCCUGCUACACUGGUCGUUUUAUCUAUAGCCCUGCGCCAAGUCCACGCAAUCUUAAGUAUUACAGCUUUGCAAUGUCUUACUAUUUAGUAAGGCGAGUGCUCCCACGUUAAUUCUUUUUCUUUAGGAAUCUCUUAACUAUUUUUGAUUUGUACUUUCAUGUAUUUUAGAAUCAACUUGGCAACUGCCACCAACCAACCAACAAAACCUUCUAAGAUUUGGAUUAGAAUUGCACUGCAUCAACAGUUCAAUUUGUGUCUACAUUAACAUCUUUAUAAUAUUGAAUCUUCUUACAUCCAAAUGGCCAACAGACACAUGAAAAAGUGCUCAACAUUGCUCGGCAUCAGGGAAAUCCAAAUCAAAACCUC